GAAAUGCGAUACGUAAUGUGAAUUGCAGAAUUCAGUGAAUCAUCGAAUCUUUGAACGCACAUUGCGCCCGCUAGUAUUCUGGCGGGCAUGCCUGUUCGAGCGUCAUUUCAACCAUCAAGCCCCAGGCUUGUGUUGGAGCCCUGCGGCCGCCCGCAGCCUUCUAAAAGCAGUGGCAGGCUCGCUAUCACACCGAGUGCAGUAGUUUACUCUUCGCUCAGGGCGUGUGGCGGGUUCUGGCCGUUAAAACCCCUACUUCUAAAGGUUGACCUCGGAUCAGGUAGGAAUACCCGCUGAACUUAA
rnacentral:misc_RNA from 1 species